UACGAAGGGGGCUAGCGUUGUUCGGAAUUACUGGGCGUAAAGCGCACGUAGGCGGAUUGUUAAGUCGGGGGUGGAAUCCCGGGGCUCAACCCCGGAACUGCCUUUGAUACUGGCAAUCUAGAGUCCGGAAGAGGUGAGUGGAAUUCCGAGUGUAGAGGUGAAAUUCGUAGAUAUUCGCAAGAACACCAGUGGCGAAGGCGGCUCACUGGCCCGGUACUGACGCUGAGGUGCGAAAGCGUGGGGAGCAAACAGG
rnacentral:rRNA from 1 species